rnacentral:rRNA from 1 species
CACGUAGGGGCCAAGCGUUGUCCGGAUUCAUUGGGCGUAAAGAGCUCGUAGGCGGUUCAGUCAGUCGGGUGUGAAAUCUCCGGGCUCAACUCGGAGGGGCCACCCGAUACUGCUGUGACUCGAGUCCGGUAGGGGAGUGGGGAAUUCCUGGUGUAGCGGUGAAAUGCGCAGAUAUCAGGAGGAACACCGGUGGCGAAGGCGCCACUCUGGGCCGGUACUGACGCUGAGAAGCGAAAGCAUGGGGAGCGAACAGG